rnacentral:lncRNA from 1 species
AAAGGUGGGCAGUGCCUCCUCCAGGUGAGGACAGGUGGGCUCUGCCUCCUCCAGGUGAGGGACAGGUGGGCAGUGCCUCCUCCAGGUGAGGACAGGUGGGCUCUGCCUCCUCCAGGUGAGGGACAGGUGGGCAGUGCUCCCCAUCCAGGUGAGGGACAGGUGGGCAGUGCCUCCUCCAGGUGAGGACAGGUGGGCAGUGCUCCUCAUCCAGGUGAGGGACAGGUGGGCAGUGCUCCUCCUCCAGGUGAGGGACAGGUGGGCAGUGCCUCCUAUCCAGGUGAGGGACAGGUGGGCAGUGCCUCACAUCCAGGUGAGGGACAGGUGGGCAGUGCCUCAUCCAGGUGAGGGACAGGUGGGCAGUGCCUCACAUCCAGGUGAGGACAGGUGGGCAGUGCCUCAUCCAGGUGAGGACAGGUGAUCCCAGGUGCUGCCCUGUGGAUCCUGGCUCUGCUCCAGGCUGUCCUGGCUGGUGGAGGCGCUCCCCCAGGAGCUCACCUGUCCCCAGGUGCACUGCAUCAGCACGGAGUUCACCCCGCGCAAGCACGGCGGCGAGAAGGGGGUUCCCUUCCGCGUGCAGAUCGACACCUUCAGGGAGAACGAGAGCGGGGAGUACACGGAGCACCUGCACUCUGCCAGCUGCCAGAUCAAGGUGUUCAAGGUACCUGCGGGCCCCUCCCACCUGGACUGACCUGGGAGUCUGUCCCAGUUUGUACUGGGGGCUGCUGGUGCCGCUGACACCUCCUGCUGUUGGGAGUACCUGCCCCAACCUGCUGGUGCAGGUGAUGGGAGGGGCUGGGAGGGGUCGUUCCCGCUGUGGUCACACCUCGGGGUGCCCAUGACUCCGUCCCACCCCCAAAAUCUCACCUUGGCUCCUCUUUUCUCACCUGUUCACCUCUUGGGGGGUCAGUGGGGUUUGGGGUCCUGCUGGGCCCUCCCCUGGUCUACCUGGGCCAAAUCCUUUCACCUGUCAGUGCAGGUACAGCCAAGUUUAAAUUUCUUCAGGGGUCUGCCAAGGGGAACACCUGGCUACCUGUGGGGGUUC